AAAUAAAAAUACUUAUACUAUAAUACGAUAAAUCAAUUGACAUAAACAGCCUUGUAACCUGGAGAACGGUCUGGAAAAUUAGAAAUCAUCGCCACCAUCAUCGUAUCCAAGAUCCUCCUCAACCUUCUCCGCCACUUCAUCUUCGAAAUGAUCCUCCAGCGCAUCCACACCCUCCGCUAAUGCGAGUCCACCCAAAGCCCCUGCAACCGCACCCACAGCCAAUCCUGUCCCCAUCCCUCCAAACUUACUCUUCUUCUUCUCCUCUUGCCCGUAGUACCCACCACUUCCCUCACCGUAGGCCGGCUGAGUAUUAUAAUUGUACGUACUGUAGGGGUAGGCAGUUGGUGGGGCCGCGUAGUAAGGAUUUUGUGGCGGUGGCGGCUGAGCGUAUGGAUAACCAUAAGAUGGCGGAGCUGCUUGGUAGUCUCUUGAAGCCGGUGGUGGGACCGCGUAGGGAGGUGCCCGGUAUGGAUCAUAAGCAUGAUAGCGUGGCUCUCUGAUGAAAACUUUAACAUCAACUUUUCCUUGGGGUCUCCCAGAGGGUCGCUUCAGGCGGAGCGUUUUCAUGUGGCUUUCUCCGAAGCCGGCUUCUUCGAGGACUUCUCGGAGCUUCAUCUUAACGGAGCCGAUGAGAGGCUUGGUAUCCUCCUCAGAUCCAGCGUGGACGACGUCGAUGAAGAGAGUGGUAUCGUCGUUGAUGGGACCAGGGAGAGGGAUGACCAGAGUUUCGUCCCAGAUGGGACACGUGUCACCCUCCUUAUCGACUUUCGUGGAACUCUUAUUUUUUGGGUCCACCCAGAGGACGACGUAGGGCCUGAUCGGGCCGUAGCGCCAAUUAACAUUUUUGAGGUCUUUGGCGGAGGAGAUGGUCACCUCUAUUUCAUGGGGAGAGGCCAUUAAUCUGCUUCUUUCAAGGUUUAAACUGGAAUUUGGGAGAAGAAAAGACAGG
rnacentral:lncRNA from 1 species